GAGUUUGAUCCUGGCUCAGAUUGAACGCUGGCGGCAUGCCUUACACAUGCAAGUCGAACGGCAGCACGGGAGCUUGCUCCUGGUGGCGAGUGGCGAACGGGUGAGUAAUGCAUCGGAACGUAUCCUGGAGUGGGGGAUAACGUAGCGAAAGUUACGCUAAUACCGCAUAUUCUGUGAGCAGGAAAGCGGGGGACCUUCGGGCCUCGCGCUCUUGGAGCGGCCGAUGUCGGAUUAGCUAGUUGGUGAGGUAAUGGCUCACCAAGGCGACGAUCCGUAACUGGUCUGAGAGGAUGAUCAGUCACACUGGAACUGAGACACGGUCCAGACUCCUACGGGAGGCAGCAGUGGGGAAUAUUGGACAAUGGGCGAAAGCCUGAUCCAGCCAUGCCGCGUGUGUGAAGAAGGUCUUCGGAUUGUAAAGCACUUUAAGUUGGGAGGAAGGGCAGUUACCUAAUACGUGAUUGUUUUGACGUUACCGACAGAAUAAGCACCGGCUAACU
rnacentral:rRNA from 1 species